rnacentral:rRNA from 1 species
UGGGGAAUUUUGGACAAUGGGCGAAAGCCUGAUCCAGCAAUGCCGCGUGUGUGAAGAAGGCCUUCGGGUUGUAAAGCACUUUUGUCCGGAAAGAAAUCCUUGGCUCUAAUACAGUCGGGGGAUGACGGUACCGGAAGAAUAAGCACCGGCUAACUACGUGCCAGCAGCCGCGGUAAUACGUAGGGUGCAAGCGUUAAUCGGAAUUACUGGGCGUAAAGCGUGCGCAGGCGGUUUGCUAAGACCGAUGUGAAAUCCCCGGGCUCAACCUGGGAACUGCAUUGGUGACUGGCAGGCUAGAGUAUGGCAGAGGGGGGUAGAAUUCCACGUGUAGCAGUGAAAUGCGUAGAGAUGUGGAGGAAUACCGAUGGCGAAGGCAGCCCCCUGGGCCAAUACUGACGCUCAUGCACGAAAGCGUGGGGAGCAAACAGGAUUAGAUACCCUGGUAGUCCACGCCCUAAAACGAUGUCAACUAGUUGUUGGGGAUUCAUUCCUUAGUAACGUAGCUAACGCGUGAAGUUGACCGCCUGGGGAGUACGGUCGCAAAGAUUAAAACUCAAAUGAAUUGACGGGGUCAUAGCUGUUUCCU